rnacentral:tRNA from 1 species
GCCCGGGUAGCUCAACUGGUGGAGCAUCGCUCUUGUAAAGCGGAGGUUGCGGGUUCGAGUCCCGCCCCGGGCU